UACUUAGCAAUGAUGUUUUAACAUGGGUAAUUUGCGUCUGAAUCAAUGUUUUGUUGAUAUUUUAAUAUUUUAACUGAGCUAAGUA